rnacentral:rRNA from 1 species
CAGCCGCCACGGUAAUACGGAGGGCGCGAGCGUUACCCGGAUUUACUGGGCGUAAAGGGCGCGUAGGCGGCCUGGGGCGUCCCAUGUGAAAGGCCACGGCUCAACCGUGGAGGAGCGUGGGAUACGCUCAGGCUAGAGGGUGGAAGAGAGAAGUGGAAUUCUCGGAGUAGCGGUAAAAUGCGUAGAUCUCGAGAGGAACACCAAUGGCGAAGGCAGCUUCUUGGUCCAUUCCUGACGUUCAUACACGAAAGCGUGGGGAGCAAACAGGAUUAGAUACCCGGGUAGUCCCUGUCUCUUAUAC